GGCAGAGCAGAAGGCCCACAGGAGCUCCUGGCUGCAGUGCUGACCGAGAUGGCCCCUCCCUAAAGGAACCUGACUCUGCAUACCUCUAGCUCUUAGAACCACUGGCAGCCUCUGACUUAUGAUCUCACUCUUCAUUCCAAGGCCAGCCGCUGUGGCUGUAUCUCUUUUCCUCCAAGGUCUCUGAGUCUCUUUUCCCAACCUGCUCCACAAGACCAGUUAUCCAUGACAUAACCUCAAGUCCUUUUCUUGGCAAUGACCUCAGUCGGUAAGGGCCGCAAGAUCUCGGCCGGCAAUGACCACAAGACCAUGGUCAUCAAUUGCCACAGGAUCUCAGUUGGCUGUGACCACGGGACCAUGGUCAACGACGGCCUCAGGACUACAGUCGGCAAUGACCACAGGAACACGGUCACCAAGGACCACAGGACCUCGGUCGGCAAUGACCACAUGACCAUUGUCAACGACGGCCUCAGGGCCUCAGUUGGCAAUGACUACAAGGUCAUUGUCACCAAUGACUACAGGACCACGGUUGGCAAUGGCUACAGUGCCACGGUCUACAAUGACAGUCAACGAUGACCACAGAACCACAGUCAGCAGUGGAGACCUGAAGUCCUUUUCUGCUGUGUAAAGAAGCAAGCAUGGAUUCUAGCAUUGAGGCCCAGCUCCCAAGUGACAGUGUCCAGGCCAGCCAUCAGAGAUGCAGAUUCCAGCCCAGGCUGCCAGAAGCCGGCCACCACUAAGCAAGCACAUCGCUCCUUCUGAACUUCAGUGCCCCUUCUCCGAAACAGAUUAGGACCCACCACACCAACCAACCACUGUAAGAACCAACUAAAAUGCCCUUGAAAGUCCUGUCACGUGGAGGCUGAGGUCCCCUCCCAGUGGCCCAUGUCCUGAGUAAAGAUAAUGUCAUAAGGGCUGUUGCUAGCCCAAUGCUAGA
ensembl:lincRNA